UAGAAAUCUAGAAUUUGGAAAUCGUUUUUCAUGAAACACAGCCUCCAUGAAGAUUAAGCCGCUGGUGCUACUGGCCAGUAUGUGCCUCUUGCGUGCGCCUGUGACUGUUUGCGUGGCUGAGGACAUCAUUCUCCAGUGGUCUGGAGUCUUGAUUGGCGGUAUGGAGAGCCACCUGGAACGUUGCACGUAGGAGGCAAGCCGUGUAUUGGCUUGGCCAAGCGUGGUUGCUGGCGUCGGCCGGUGCUGUUGCUAGCCUUGCCGUAGUCGGAGAUGCUCGGUGCUUGGCUCUCCAAGGGCUGUUGGUUUACGUUCCUAAGGGUGAAGGGCUACUGGUUCAUCGUGAACCAUGAGGAGGAGGAAGAAUGCCAUCUCAUGGCUGCCCUUAGUUUUCGAAGAUAUUAUUAAACUGCCAUUAUGAUGCCCCUGGUCUUAAUUUUUGCAAUAUUUAUUAUUAUGCCAUCGUUUUUGUUUUGCCUUGGAUUUUCUAUGAAAUUCACUAAAAUGCCAUUUGACUUGUGUUUUUUGACUGAAUAAAAUUACAGAUUUAAUUGUAAUUCAAAUAAAAUUAUGAUUUUAAUACCACUUAAAUUAGAAAUCAGAUUAAAUUGUUAAUUCAAUUUAAAUUUGUAAUUUUAAUUCUAGUAAAAAAGGGGUAUUAGUGAAAAAA
rnacentral:misc_RNA from 1 species